GUCGGUAUAGCACAACGGUUAGUGCUCCAGUCUUCCAAACUGGAGAUGUGGGUUCGAUUCCCAUUACCGACU
rnacentral:tRNA from 1 species